AGCUUGGUGCCCACAGAGAGCUCCUAAUGUAUCAAUUUUUAAACUUAAUCACUAUUCAGAAGCGUAGAAGACAAUUCUCUUUGUUCUUAAAAAAAGAUGACUGGCGCAGAUACUCUUAAUUUGAUUGAAAAUUCAAUGUUCCUAGAUCCGCCAUUGGAUGCAUACACAAGAAUAUCGCAUUGUUGAGUUGGAGUGAUAGAAGAUAAAUUGACCUACCUUCUCUGAACGAUAACAGAAUGUUCGACAAAUAGAAAGAAUUAUUAUUUAGCAGAGUUUUGUUCCCCAAGUGCCUAGGGUACAUUGAACUGAUACACAGUUGUUUCUUCAACUUUGUCUGUCAUUCUAUGAAAACAUUACGCAACACUGCAGUUAAGGAUAAUAUCCAAUUAUUGAUGUACUUUUUGUCAUGUUUGCGUCACGAUGAUUUCAAUUUCAAGUAAUAUUCAUGAAACGUCAUUGACAUUUAGCGUAAUGAAUAAACAUAGAUGGAAACAUACCGAUUACAGCGUGGUUGAAGUGACAUAAUGCGCAAAUGUUAUAUCACGCGACGAAGUAAUCGUAAUCGUCGUACAAUUUUGUAUGGAAUUCGAUAUUUCGAUGUAACGACAGAUGCGUAUCGAUAGAUGUUUGUAAUGCAAUAAAUAAACGAGUCAACACUUUC